rnacentral:ncRNA from 1 species
UUUUAGUUUUUUUAACUAAAAUUUCUAUUUAAUUAUAAUUUAAAUGUAAAAAAUUUAUGAAAAAGAUAUUAUUUAAAUAAUAAUAAUAAUAAUAAAAAUUUACAAUAAAUAGUAUUUUAUUAUUUAAUAAAUUAAGAGAAAGUAAUAAUUUUAGUUUAAACAAAUUUUGUGCCAGCAGUUGCGGUUAAACAGAAUAAACAAUAGAAAUUAAAAAAAAUUAGUUAAUAUAAAAUUAAUUAAAAAUUUAGAUUAAGAUUUUAAAUUUAAAGGGUGAAAUUUUAAAUUUAAAAAAAGUUUGUUUAUGAGGCUAAAAAAUUUUAUAUAAGACUAGGAUUAGAUACCCUAUUAUGAAAAAAUAAAUUUAUUUAUUUAUAUUAUUGUUAGUUAAAUUCUUUAAAGUAAAGAAAAUUGGCGGUAAUUUACCUAUUUAGAGGAAUCUGUUCUGUAAAUGAUAACCCACGCUUAAAUAGGCUUAAGUUAUUAGUUUACAUAUCGUUGUAGUUAGGGAGUAUCUUUAUAGGGUUUAAUAUUCAAUAUUAAUAUAGUAUUAAUAACAGGUCAAGAUGUAGUUUAUAAUUAAGAAGAAAUGGAUUACUUUUAUUUUAAUAUUGGAUUAAUAAUUUUAAAAAUUUUAUGAAAUUGGAUUUAAAUGUAAUUUUUAUAUAAAUAUAUAUUUAUAAUGAUUUGAGUUCUAAAUUAUGCACAUAUUGCCCGUCGCUUUCAUAUAAAAUGAAAUAAGUCGUAACAAAGUAGGUGUACUGGAAAGUGUAUCUAGAAACAA